AGUGAACGCCGGCGGCAGGCCUAACACAUGCAAGUCGUACGGACUCUUCGGAGUUAGUGGCGGACGGGUGAGUAACACGUGGGAACGUGCCUUUAGGUUCGGAAUAACUCAGGGAAACUUGUGCUAAUACCGAAUGUGCCCUUCGGGGGAAAGAUUUAUCGCCUUUAGAGCGGCCCGCGUCUGAUUAGCUAGUUGGUGAGGUAAAGGCUCACCAAGGCGCCGAUCAGUAGCUGGUCUGAGAGGAUGAUCAGCCACAUUGGGACUGAGACACGGCCCAAACUCCUACGGGAGGCAGCAGUGGGGAAUCUUGCGCAAUGGGCGAAAGCCUGACGCAGCCAUGCCGCGUGAAUGAUGAAGGUCUUAGGAUUGUAAAAUUCUUUCACCGGGGACGAUAAUGACGGUACCCGGAGAAGAAGCCCCGGCUAACUUCGUGCCAGCCGCCGCCGUAA
rnacentral:rRNA from 1 species